GACGAACGCUGGCGGCGUGCUUAACACAUGCAAGUCGAACGGAAAGGCCCUGCUUUUGUGGGGUGCUCGAGUGGCGAACGGGUGAGUAACACGUGAGUAACCUGCCCUUGACUUUGGGAUAACUUCAGGAAACUGGGGCUAAUACCGGAUAGGAGCUCCUGCUGCAUGGUGGGGGUUGGAAAGUUUCGGCGGUUGGGGAUGGACUCGCGGCUUAUCAGCUUGUUGGUGGGGUAGUGGCUUACCAAGGCUUUGACGGGUAGCCGGCCUGAGAGGGUGACCGGCCACAUUGGGACUGAGAUACGGCCCAGACUCCUACGGGAGGCAGCAGUGGGGAAUAUUGCACAAUGGGCGGAAGCCUGAUGCAGCAACGCCGCGUGCGGGAUGACGGCCUUCGGGUUGUAAACCGCUUUCGCCUGUGACGAAGCGUGAGUGACGGUAAUGGGUAAAGAAGCACCGGCUAACUACGUGCCAGCAGCCGCGGUGAUACGUAGGGUGCGAGCGUUGUCCGGAUUUAUUGGGCGUAAAGGGCUCGUGGGUGGUUGAUCGCGUCGGAAGUGUAAUCUUGGGGCUUAACCCUGAGCGUGCUUUCGAUACGGGUUGACUUGAGGAAGGUAGGGGAGAAUGGAAUUCCUGGUGGAGCGGUGGAAUGCGCAGAUAUCAGGAGGAACACCAGUGGCGAAGGCGGUUCUCUGGGCCUUUCCUGACGCUGAGGAGCGAAAGCGUGGGGAGCGAACAGGCUUAGAUACCCUGGUAGUCCACGCUGUAAACGGUGGGUACUAGGUGUGGGGUCCAUUCCACGGGUUCCGUGCCGUAGCUAACGCUUUAAGUACCCCGCCUGGGGAGUACGGCCGCAAGGCUAAAACUCAAAGGAAUUGACGGGGCCCCGCACAAGCGGCGGAGCAUGCGGAUUAAUUCGAUGCAACGCGUAGAACCUUACCUGGGUUUGACAUGGAUCGGGAGCGCUCAGAGAUGGGUGUGCCUCUUUUGGGGUCGGUUCACAGGUGGUGCAUGGCUGUCGUCAGCUCGUGUCGUGAGAUGUUGGGUUAAGUCCCGCAACGAGCGCAACCCUUGUUCACUGUUGCCAGCACGUUAUGGUGGGGACUCAGUGGAGACCGCCGGGGUCAACUCGGAGGAAGGUGGGGAUGACGUCAAGUCAUCAUGCCCCUUAUGUCCAGGGCUUCACGCAUGCUACAAUGGCUGGUACAGAGAGUGGCGAGCCUGUGAGGGUGAGCGAAUCUCGGAAAGCCGGUCUCAGUUCGGAUUGGGGUCUGCAACUCGACCUCAUGAAGUCGGAGUCGCUAGUAAUCGCAGAUCAGCAACGCUGCGGUGAAUACGUUCCCGGGGCU
rnacentral:rRNA from 1 species